rnacentral:rRNA from 3 species
GGUGCUUGCAUCAUGAUUUACAUUUGAGUGAGUGGCGAACUGGUGAGUAACACGUGGGAAACCUGCCCAGAAGCGGGGGAUAACACCUGGAAACAGAUGCUAAUACCGCAUAACAACUUGGACCGCAUGGUCCGAGCUUGAAAGAUGGCUUCGGCUAUCACUUUUGGAUGGUCCCGCGGCGUAUUAGCUAGAUGGUGGGGUAACGGCUCACCAUGGCAAUGAUACGUAGCCGACCUGAGAGGGUAAUCGGCCACAUUGGGACUGAGACACGGCCCAAACUCCUACGGGAGGCAGCAGUAGGGAAUCUUCCACAAUGGACGAAAGUCUGAUGGAGCAACGCCGCGUGAGUGAAGAAGGGUUUCGGCUCGUAAAACUCUGUUGUUAAAGAAGAACAUAUCUGAGAGUAACUGUUCAGGUAUUGACGGUAUUUAACCAGAAAGCCACGGCUAACUACGUGCCAGCAGCCGCGGUAAUACGUAGGUGGCAAGCGUUGUCCGGAUUUAUUGGGCGUAAAGCGAGCGCAGGCGGUUUUUUAAGUCUGAUGUGAAAGCCUUCGGCUCAACCGAAGAAGUGCAUCGGAAACUGGGAAACUUGAGUGCAGAAGAGGACAGUGGAACUCCAUGUGUAGCGGUGAAAUGCGUAGAUAUAUGGAAGAACACCAGUGGCGAAGGCGGCUGUCUGGUCUGUAACUGACGCUGAGGCUCGAAAGUAUGGGUAGCAAACAGGAUUAGAUACCCUGGUAGUCCAUACCGUAAACGAUGAAUGCUAAGUGUUGGAGGGUUUCCGCCCUUCAGUGCUGCAGCUAACGCAUUAAGCAUUCCGCCUGGGGAGUACGGCCGCAAGGCUGAAACUCAAAGGAAUUGACGGGGGCCCGCACAAGCGGUGGAGCAUGUGGUUUAAUUCGAAGCUACGCGAAGAACCUUACCAGGUCUUGACAUACUAUGCAAAUCUAAGAGAUUAGACGUUCCCUUCGGGGACAUGGAUACAGGUGGUGCAUGGUUGUCGUCAGCUCGUGUCGUGAGAUGUUGGGUUAAGUCCCGCAACGAGCGCAACCCUUAUUAUCAGUUGCCAGCAUUAAGUUGGGCACUCUGGUGAGACUGCCGGUGACAAACCGGAGGAAGGUGGGGAUGACGUCAAAUCAUCAUGCCCCUUAUGACCUGGGCUACACACGUGCUACAAUGGAUGGUACAACGAGUUGCGAACUCGCGAGAGUAAGCUAAUCUCUUAAAGCCAUUCUCAGUUCGGAUUGUAGGCUGCAACUCGCCUACAUGAAGUCGGAAUCGCUAGUAAUCGCGGAUCAGCAUGCCGCGGUGAAUACGUUCCCGGGCCUUGUACACACCGCCCGUCACACCAUGAGAGUUUGUAACACCCAAAGUCGG